ACGGAAGGCAGCAGUGGGGAAUAUUGGGUAAUGGGGGCAACCCUGACCCAGCAACGCCGCGUGAAGGAAGAAGGCUUUCGGGUUGUAAACUUCCUUGACGAGGGACGAUAAUGACGGUACCUCGAAAACAAGCCACGGCUAACUACGUGCCAGCAGCCGCGGUAAUACGUAGGUGGCAAGCGUUGUCCGGAGUUACUGGGUGUAAAGGGCGCGUAGGCGGGAUAGCAAGUCAGGAGUGAAAUCUAUGGGCUUAACCCAUAAACUGCUUUUGAAACUGUUAUUCUUGAGUAUCGGAGAGGCAGGCGGAAUUCCUAGUGUAGCGGUGAAACGCGUAGAUAUUAGGAGGAACACCAGUGGCGAAGGCGGCCUGCUGGACGACAACUGACGCUGAGGCGCGAAAGCAUGGGGAGCAAACAGGAUUAGAUACCCUGGUA
rnacentral:rRNA from 1 species